rnacentral:SRP_RNA from 1 species
CCGGCAAGUCAGUACGACCAGCUCCUGCGAAUCCCCCAGGUCUGGAAAGAAGCAAGGGUAAGUGGUUGUAGCGGUGCGAUAUUGGCUUGCCAUUUU